UACGAAGGGGGCUAGCGUUGUUCGGAAUUACUGGGCGUAAAGGGCGCGUAGGCGGUACUUCAAGUCAGGCGUGAAAGCCCCGGGCUCAACCUGGGAACCGCGCUUGAGACUGGAGAACUAGAGUUCGGGAGAGGAUGGUGGAAUUCCCAGUGUAGAGGUGAAAUUCGUAGAUAUUGGGAAGAACACCGAUGGCGAAGGCAGCCAUCUGGACCGACACUGACGCUGAGGCGCGAAAGCGUGGGGAGCAAACAGGAUUGAGAAACC
rnacentral:rRNA from 1 species